rnacentral:rRNA from 1 species
GAUGAACGCUGGCGGCGUGCCUAAUACAUGCCAGUCGAGCGAACGGACGAGAAGCUUGCUUCUCUGGUGUUAGCGGCGGACGGGUGAGUAACACGUGGAUAACCUACCUAUAAGACUGGGAUAACUUCGGGAAACCGGAGCUAAUACCGGAUAAUAUUUUGAACCGCAUGGUUCAAAAGUGAAAGACGGUCUUGCUGUCACUUAUAGAUGGAUCCGCGCUGCAUUAGCUAGUUGGUAAGGUAACGGCUUACCAAGGCAACGAUGCAUAGCCGACCUGAGAGGGUGAUCGGCCACACUGGAACUGAGACACGGUCCAGACUCCUACGGGAGGCAGCAGUAGGGAAUCUUCCGCAAUGGGCGAAAGCCUGACGGAGCAACGCCGCGUGAGUGAUGAAGGCCUUCGGAUCGUAAAACUCUGUUAUUAGGGAAGAACAUAUGUGUAAGUAACUGUGCACAUCUUGACGGUACCUAAUCAGAAAGCCACGGCUAACUACGUG